AUUGAACGCUGGCGGCAGGCCUAACACAUGCAGGUCGAACGGUAACAGGAAGAAGCUUGCUUCUUUGCUGACGAGUGGCGGACGGGUGAGUAAUGUCUGGGAAACUGCCUGAUGGAGGGGGAUAACUACUGGAAACGGUAGCUAAUACCGCAUAACGUCGCAAGACCAAAGAGGGGGACCUUCGGGCCUCUUGCCAUCGGAUGUGCCCAGAUGGGAUUAGCUAGUAGGUGGGGUAACGGCUCACCUAGGCGACGAUCCCUAGCUGGUCUGAGAGGAUGACCAGCCGCACUGGAACUGAGACACGGUCCAGACUCCUACGGGAGGCAGCAGUGGGGAAUAUUGCACAAUGGGCGCAAGCCUGAUGCAGCCAUGCCGCGUGUAUGAAGAAGGCCUUCGGGUUGUAAAGUACUUUCAGCGGGGAGGAAGGGAGUAAAGUUAAUACCUUUGCUCAUUGACGUUACCCGCAGAAGAAGCACCGGCUAACUCCGUG
rnacentral:rRNA from 1 species